GGGGAAUAUUGCACAAUGGGCGAAAGCCUGAUGCAGCAACGCCGCGUGAAUGAUGAAGGCCUUCGGGUCGUAAAGUUCUUUGAUCAGGGAUGAUAAUGACAGUGCCUGAAAAACAAGCCACGGCCAACUACGUGCCAGCAGCCGCGGUAAUACGUAGGUGGCGAGCGUUGUCCGGAAUUACUGGGCGUAAAGGAUGCGUAGGUGGAUACUUAAGUGGGAUGUGAAAUCCCCGGGCUCAACCCGGGAACUGCAUUCCAAACUGAGUAUCUAGAGUGCAGGAGAGGAAAGCGGAAUUCCUAGUGUAGCGGUGAAAUGCGUAGAUAUUAGGAGGAACACCAGUGGCGAAGGCGGCUUUCUGGACUGUAACUGACACUGAGGCAUGAAAGCGUGGGGAGCAAAC
rnacentral:rRNA from 1 species